UGGUCUCCAUCUCCUGACCUCGUGAUCCACCUGUCUCGGCCUCCCAAAGUGCUGGGAUUACAGGCAUGAGCCACCGUGCCCGGCCAUGUAUCGUCUUUCUAGGAGAGAGUGUGGUUGGGCUGGGCGGGGUGUCUCACGCCUGUAGUCUCAGCGACUGUGGGAAGCUGAGGCAGAGGAGUUGCUUGAGCCCGGGAGCAGCAACAUAGAGAAACUCCAGCCCUAAAAACAAAUUUUUUUAAUCACUGGGAAAAGGAAUGGUUGUAAGAGAGCACCUGCAUUUCUGCCAGUACCUGAGGUUUUCUCGUCUGUGAUCAUUAAGUAAGCCGAGAGCGUUGCUCUGGUGGCGUGCUGGACGUAUUCUCGCAAACCAGAGGUGCACUAUAGUCCGCCAUGCUUUGUUCUAAAAUUUCUACUGGAGGUCUGCCUCAUGUCUCGCUUUGUGCCAGGUACAAACGAAAUCCGGAGAUGAACAUGUUGGGGUGCCUGCCUUCGUAGGCAGGACUCUCGGUUGAAGGGACAGCAGGUGGGCUUUGGGGCCAAGCAUCCUUGGGAGAUGUCGUCAUCCCCACCAUUGCUUGACUUUGUUGCUUUGGGCAAGUCAAAUGACCUCUUGGAGCCGUUUUGUCCGGGUAGGGUGGGGUUACUGAUACCCGCCUCAUUGCACUGAAUGGGCCAUGAACGGACAGUCCAGUACCUUCCUCAUGCAGUCAGAGUCUCUAUUGUCACUGUCACUUGGAGGCCAGAGGACAGGCAGGACCCAGACGCUGGUGUGCAUUUGAUGCCAGGCUGUGGAAUCAUGUUUCCAUUUUCUAAUUACACAAUUAACUGGAGAAUAUGCUAAAGUUCCCCAUUGUCACAAAUUACAGUUUCUUUCUUACUUUUGCAUUUCUGUGUUUGCUGCAGCCCAGCAGGAGGUCCAUUAAACCAAAAGGUUCCAUUAUCUCCUCAGGACAGGGAUGGGGAGGCGGGAGGCUGUGGCUUGCAGGCCUUGCUGUCCCCAGCAGGAAAGGGUGGGGAGCUCGAGAAGGAGGAGCCCACACGCCCUUCUGUCCUUGGACUGUGUAGAGCUUCUUAGGGUGGCUUCGUUAUUUGCCAUGCAGUAAACUGCCUGAUUAUCAGACACAUCCAUAUGCCAAGAGAAGUAUUAAAACAGACUCUUUGCAAAGCCUAUCGAAGGGUUUUUUGGGCAACCACUCUUGCUACUGUUCUCAUGCACGACCUUGGAUAAUUGAAAUUUGUCUGUGGUUCAAACUGGAGAUGGCCAGUGUUCACAGAGACCUAAAGAUUGCUGUGUAGUAAUUUGCUUCUUUAGUAAGUUUUUCCAAGAAGUUUUAUAUCGUCUUUCUGUGAGAGUACGGCGGGACUGGGGGCGGUGGUGGUCCACGCCUAUAAUCUCAGCUACUCUGGGAGGCUGGUUGGGGGCCAUCUGUUGCCUGGAGGUCUCUCUAAUAAUUCAACACAGGGCCCUGAGCCCCAGAAAUGCUGGCUUAUUCCUCUUGAGUUUCUGCCUCAGUGAAGGGAUUAUUCAGGUUUCCAAAACACACAGUCUCUUAUGACCUGAGAAAGGUCUCUGAUUUGCAUUUGCUCAUUACGCUGGGUAAUAGACUGGAAGUAUGACCUUUCUCCAGUUAACGAUCGUUCCCCACAGACAGGGCUUGCGUGCCUGUGUCUGCAGCACGUGGUGCGCCUGAGCUGAUGAUGCGGCUCUUCUGAACAGCUGCGGGGGCAGCCCCGAGGCCAAGGCCCCGGCCACUCCAGGGUGGGUGUGGGGUGGGAGGUGUUAUUUACCCACCGAAGGAAGUCUGGUUGUGGAGGCAGACUUGUCUCCCCUGUGGUUAGGGCUGUCUGAGGAGCCGCUCUUGUUUCCAAGGGUUGCAGGUACGUAGUGUACUGAGAGGAUUAAUACACAGAGUGGAUGACACCUCCAGUUUACUAGAGGGGCAAAUCUCACCCCCACCAAGGACGGGCCCUUGCAAACCCUCACAGUUCACCGUAUCCAUCUUUCCCACUGGAUCUCAGUUCUGCAAGGAAGAGCCGGGGCCUGGAGCCAGGGCCACAUUGCCUGGUGUCCCAGCCCAGCAGGCAUUGGGGUGGGUGGGGAGCCUGGGCUGCCUGGAGGGGUGCUCCCUCAUGGCCCUGUACCCCACGUGGCUCCUUCCUUGAAGCUGUGUCUCAGUCCCAGGGGAGAGCCUUCCAGGAUGGAGGUAGAGAGGAAGGGAAUGUGCGUGCCUCUGGCUUCAUCUCUGCAGUGUCUUGCCUCAUAGGAGAGCUUUGGUGUGGGCUGUGCUGGCCAGUCAUCACAGUGCCCUGCAGGCCACAGGGCUGAGGGCAGGCUGACCAGACCUUCCAUGAAGAGAUGGGGCUGGUGGGGACACUGGAGUCCUCCCUGCUGCCGAGUCCAGCUGUGCCAUGCGUGGGCUGUUCUGAACUGUGGCGAGUCAUCGUCCUCAGUCUCCCUUUGGCGAAGUGGGCCCAGUCAUGCCCAGGCGCACCUUUUGAGGGUUUUGUGUGUGCAGCUUUAAAUGCAAAUGCCCACGAUUGCUGUGUUCUCCAGCCACGUGUGGGGUACCCAGUUCUUGCUAGGUACCUCUUCCAGUUCUUGCCUCUCUUUUAAGUGGUUUGCGUGAGAUUCUACAAGCACUGUCACUUUUUGAAACCCUGGGUUUUGUUUCCAGUUUCCUUUUCCAACAAUAACAGGAACUUUGCGUUUAGUGGUUGGUGGUUCCACCUUCACUAAUGGGUUCGUUCUCUCUCUGGGCAUGUGAGCAGGGCUCGGGAUCACAUCUCUGCUGUAGAGACACAUGAUGAAAACAGGCUUCAGCAGAGAACACGGUUUGAAUUAUAUGAUGGCUUAAGGAAAGCUCUGUGUCUACUUCUGACGUCUGUGUUUCUUGGUAUGAUGCUGGCACCUUAAAACAUUUUUGCCCGUGUCUAGUAAUACAGGAAUUCAUUCACUCAUUUAUUUAUUCCACAAAAUUUUCUUUGCUAUUUGCAAAAAUGUUAUUUUUCUAUAGCAAAUAAAAGCUAUGCUCUAUGCGAUGGAGGACACAGGUAUGAACUAUAUGAGAUUAAUUCCUUUACAAAACUCUUAAUAAAGAGAAAAAAUUUACGAAAAUAGAAGGUAUCAUUAAUAAUUAUAGUAUACACUUACAUAACAUUCUCUGUGCCACACUAUUCUUGGUGCUGUCUAUUUAUGUUAUUUCAAUUAAUCUUCAUAGCAACCUGUGAGGUAGGUGCUAUUUCUGUCUCCUUUUUAUAGCUAAGGGAACUGAACCACAGACAGGUUAAGUGGCUUGCCCAGGAUUGCACAGCCAGUGAGUAGUAGAGCCAGCUUCGAAAUCCAGGCGGUCUUGAAGCAGUAUCCACUCUUAAUCACCUGUGCUACACUGAAAUUUCUAAUAUAACAAUUGGAAAGCAAUUGUUAUAUUAGAAAAGUGAAGGCAGGUAAUCCUGUGGGGAAUGGCUUGUAGCUUGAGAGGUUCCAGAGUUCACAUCUCACGGCAGUAGGGAUACACCCAGCCAAAGUCUGAAAGUUAGAAACAGUAUUUUAAGAAAUGUGUUUGCAUGAGUCGAUUGCUUCUCUUUCAGGUUUCUCUACCAUCAUUCACAGGCUCAUACAAAACUCAAUGCAAAAGUUAGGUCUUAAGGAAAACCGCGUGAUUUGUUUCACUUCGUUGUGGUGGUCUAAACCUCUCUAUUUAUUUGCCAACAGAACAAUGCUUUAUUAGUUUGCUGUUUUUCAAACUACAUAAUCAUGCUCCCUUACAGUGGCCUGGAGAUGUCAAUAUUCCUUUUGCUCAAUCAGUAUAUUGUAGGUAAAUGUGUGUGUGUGUUGUGUGUGUCCUUUUAUCUACUGUCUUUGCUAUAUACAUUUUGCAGUAUGCAAAUCCCGAUAACCCCUGGGCACAGGUCUCUAUUGGCAGACGCCACUUAUCCAUGGGGGAAGUGGGGACCGGAGGUGGGAGCCUUCCCCACCAGCAUGGCUCACAUCUCGUUUGAGGAGCUGACAGUGCUGGAGGCUGGGCUGUUGAAGGCGCUCAGCAGCACUGCGCCCACACUGGGCCCAGGAGCUUCCUCUUCCCACCCGCCCUCUGAGGCCCUCCCAGGCUGGCUCCUUUCUCCCUCUGGCUUCCUCCUCAACAAGGCCUUCUUCCAACUCGCAACUCAGCCCUGGUUGUGCCAGGAGUGAACUCCUCUGUGCCCCCUCCACUGGGCAGGGCUCUGCACUGCCACCCCUUCUGGUCACUUGCCUUCAGGGCCUGGCUGGGCACCAUCCUUAUAGGGAGCCUCUCAUGGCACCAGGGACCCAAAGUCCUGGUGCUUUCCUCUGCCUCGCCCCUGAGAAUUGCACGUUCAUACCACUGGGUCCGGCCCGAGCCAAGCCUCUUCCAGGUCGUUCUUCCUGCCGGAUGGACCCUUAAACCUGCGUCUCCUGUUGCUGCCCUGGAGACUCCGGUUGUGUUUUCUGUGUCUCCAGCCUGCUGCUGGUGGCUUCUGGAUCUUUAUUCUGUUGCGGGCCCUGUUGCCACAGACAGCCCUUGGGUUUUAUGUGUUCAGCUUUCAACCAACCUGCACUUUGGCACAUUGCAUGUUGUGACACAUAAACUGUUUUUGGUGUGCUGAGUUCAAAGUUUUGAACAACAGCUGAUGAACAAAUACUUUGAGCUGUGAUUUGCUGGCACUGCGUGCAAGUUUGGUUUCUGACGCAUUCGUUUGUUCAGUCUGCAUUCAUUCCAAAAUAUUUGCGAUCCAAGCAUUGCUCCAGAGAACAGAAGCUAAGCCGCCACACCUGGUUCCCACCCUUGGGGAGCUUUCAGCCCAGCCUCACCUCCUUUAAAAUCUUUGUGCAUUAGGGACUAAAAACCAGGAAAUAGAGAAUUUGUAUAAAUGAAUACAUAGAGGAUUGAAUUUAGUGGUGGCUUGAUUCAAGGACACCGAAUACUUCUUCAUGUACUUUUGUCACUGAUGAUCAAAACUUGGAGUAAGCGCUUCAGUUGAAUGUAUUUUAUUGGGUUUACAAAUGACCUUAGGGCUAUAUUUACAGAAUCAUUAAGGGUCUGAAGGAGUUCCUUAAAUUUUUAGUUAUACUUUGCUGCAUUUUAUUGGGAGCAUUAUUUGCUGUAAUGGCAUCUGUGCACUCGGGGAUCCACAUAGGUUUUGGGACAAGGACGUCUGUACAUAGACAUCUACAACAGAGAUAUGUUCAUUAAUGUUUUUGUGUCAUUUUACAACAUAUUGUGUCAUAUAAAUGAUGAUCCAAAAAGGGAAGCAAUGCAUUUGGAAGUCAUCAAGCCAUGGUUUUGGAUCAUGAUUAGGUCCAAACUUUUGCAGAGAUUUUUAUUUUUUUAUUUUUUAGAGACUAUCUUCUCCUUUGCCCAGGCUACAGGAGGCUGGAGUGCAGUGGUACAAUCAUAGCUCACCGGAAUCUAUCUGAGCGUCUUUUAAGUUCUUUACAUGAAUGAUUUAAUUUUAUUGUUAAAGUAGCCACACAAAUAGAGACUGUUAUUACCUGCCAUUUAUAGGUAUCCAAACUGUGACCCAGAAAGGUUAAGUCACUUUCCCAAGAUCACACAGGUAAUAAGUAGUUGCACCAGGAUUCACACCCGGGCAGUCUUAUUCUAGAGCCACCAUGUUACAGCCGCUCCCUCCUUUGCACCUGAAAUUUCUCAGCUCUAAAAGAAGGGAGUUGGUUUAUGUAACCUGUAGGGUCUCUUCCAGCCUGACAGUCUGUGGUCUCUGAGGUGUUAGCGAUAGAAGACUGAAUGUACCCUCACGUGCACAUGUUCACUCACGCCGCCACAGACACAGACGGCAGCCUGGUGGACUCCCUGGAGGGCUCACAGCAGGAAUAAAUCACACGCAAGAGCUGUGGAUGAGGAGGGACCCUCCGCAUCGUUCUGCAGGCACCUUCAGGGGAGCAACACCUGUGCAUUGUUAACUGGCUACCACAUUUUGUGAUUUAUAAUGGAAAAAACAAUACCUGUGCAUUGUUAACUGGCUACCACAUUUUGUGAUUUAUAACGGAAAAAAGUGAUACCUACAAUACUGAGAACCUUUUUGAAAGGGGGGUUCUCAGGACACAGCCUAGCAGAGCACAGAAUGUCUUCACAUCUCAAUUUUUCACAAAAAUAAAGCACAUGGGUCUUAAUUGAAGAUGGGCUUCAUGAAAGCAUAUCUGAGGUUGGUGGCAGAUUGGGGAAAAGUGCCCCAAAAUAUUUAUUAUAAACAAAUAAUCAACAGAUAUAAACAGUGGAUUAUGAAUUAGAAAUUGCUUGUGUUAGAUUGUCCAGAAUAUCAAACACGACAUUGAUGAUGUUGCUCCUGAAACCUCACUCUAAGAUAAGCAAUAAGGGUGAGAUUAUAAGAAGGAAAUUACGUAAUCAUAGAACAUAAAAUAACAUCGCCACCAAUAAAAGAUGCCAGCACUAAGUAACAGCCCCUGUCUAGCUCCGUCUCUGCCAAGUCCCACUCCGAGUGUUCUGUGGGCGUUCCCUCCCUGCCUGGCCUCUGGAAGGAAUUUUACUGCCAUUUUACGCGUAAGGAAAACACAGCUUCAAUAUAUGACCCAGUCUAGCAUUUAUUUUCUAGUGGAGUCAGGGUUUAAACUGCAGAUUCUCAGCACUGAACCCUACUGUUUAUCCUGCUGGAAGAAGUUCAAGGUGAAACUUUACUCGGGCUUUGGGGCCCAAGUGCAGAGCUUCCACGCGUGAGCAUAGAACACAGUGAUCCCUGGUCGGCCCUGAAUCCCUGCUCCCUGGGCUUCACGGAGGGUAACAGACAACCACGGAAUACUCACUUCAGAAUGGUCGCGACACUGCAGAAGCCGUUAGUCCCAUUUGCUGGUGCUGGAAGGCACCUCAGGACUCAGCAUCUCGGUGUACAAGGAGCCUCGGGCAGCCUGGGGAGACUCAGGUCAGCAUGACUUCCUCAUGCAGGAAGCCGCCCAGCUGCAGUGAUGGGGUGGAGAAGCCGCUAAGUCUCCUUGUACAGAGAAAGGCACGCCAGGGGCACUGGGCAACAUAAUCACGGCUCCUUAAAAGCAGGGAGAACAUCCUUCCGCGCUGCACACGCUUUUCUGCAGUGUCUGCGAGGGCUGCAGUCUCUGCAAGGGAGAGCCCUGCAGGGCGGAUGUCCCCCGGCUGCCAGUUCCAGACCUUGCUGCCUGUGUAGGGGUGUCUAUGGGUGCUUGGUUCUGGGCUUAUGUGGAAAUACUUUUGUAUAGUUUGACUCUUACUUCCAGAUCAUUUGUGUCCUGGGCUGUGUGGGAUCCAGUGGUAGGCAAGGAAGGGGUGUGGAAUUCGGAGGCCUGCCUGGCUUCCACCGCUCUCCCUGGGUCUGCGGAGGCUGCAGCUCCAUCAGGCCAUCACCUGCACACCACAGCUGGGUGUGCCGGGGGGGAGGCGAGCUUGCAGGGUGGCCUCCCAGCCCUUCUCCAGGUGACCUGCGCUCAUUUCCGUUUCUGAGUCCCCACAUCCUCCUCGAAGGCCCUGGCGGCUGCUGCAUCCAUUCCUAUCGCUGCCCUGCCUGGGAGUCCUCAGGGUUCCCCGAGUCUCCCUAGGCAACUGGUCGCCGAGAAUAGAAGCUUCGGGCCUUCACGUGUUGGAAGGUACCCGUGGCUGCCCCUCGCUUCUGCCUCCCUGCGUUUUGUAGACAUUCUUCUGAGUUCCCUCCCCAGCACCCAUCCGUCCUGUUGCUUCCCUGAGUGCUGUUUGUAGGAUUAAAAGAUACGGUGGACACUUAGAGGAGGCAGCAAUACAGGUUUUCCUACAAACUGGGUCACCUGCAGGAAACACGUGCCCUUCAGAGUGCAAGAAAGCCAGGCUGGGGGAGGGGGCUGGGACUGGGGUGGGCAGGAGUCCUCGCGGUACCUGCAGCCUUGGGGUCCCACCGCGCCUGUGCUGAAGUCAUUGAGUCCUUAGACCUGUGCCCAGGCUCCAGCUGAAGGGCUGCGCCAUGCUUCUGAUGCUCACUAUACACCAGAUACGGCACUCCCCUGGGGAGGAGCUCUGUUUCAAACAUGUGAAUUUCUGUUGUGAUGAAUCAGUCACCGUUUAUCGAAGCAUUGCUGAAUUAAUAGCAAUUUUUGGCCAAUAUGUGUUUCUCAGAUUCAUUCCAUUAUUGUGCUUUUGUCACUGAACAUUCAUGAUUAUGGAGCAAGUAGCUCAGUGCACAUGUCACAUGGGCUCGCACUGUGGGAGGUCGGAGCUGCCGGGUGACUAGACAGAGGGAAGACAGACAGACAGACAGACGAGAUGGUGAUGGGGGCCUCAGCCCCAAAUCCAGAGAAAUGCUCUGUCUAGUCUCAGUAAGCCUUACUCACUGCUAUUUGCAAAUAAAGAGAGCUAUUCCUGCAAAUCUAUGCUUGUUAAAAACCAGUACAGCCAGGUGCAGUUGCUUAUGCCUGUAAUCCCAGCACUUUGGGAGGUGAAGGCGGGAGGAUCACUUGAGGCCAGGAGUUCAAGACCAGCCUAGGCAACAUAUUGAGACCCCGUCUCUACCAAAAGAACAAAAGAAAAAAGGCCGAGUGUGAUGCCCUGUGCCUGGAGUCCCAGCUACUCAGGAGGCUGAGGUGGGAGGAUGGCUUGAGCCCAGGAGUUGGAGGCUGCAGUGAGCCGUGAUGACAUCACUGCACUCCAGCCUGAGUGACAGAGUGAGACUGUGUCUCAAAAAACAAAACCAAGCCAACACCAUCACCAAAUUUAAAACUGUACUUUCUGCUUUCUGUUUAUCUUUCUUCAUAUCUCCAGCAACAGAUCUGUUUUUUCCUCUUCUGUCUCAGCAAGCCUUGCUCCAGCUUUCAUAGUGCAAAGAGCACGUUAGCGUGGUUAGGCACAGCGGCCUAGGAACCACGGGUCCAAUCUGCUGUGUCAUUUGCUGUGCCAGGCUGUGGCUGUAGCCGCUUGCCGCUCAACCUUGGUGACAUGCUCUCCAUCAAGCAGAGGCUGAAAGCUGGUGUCAGGAAGGAGUGUGGCACUGGAGCCGGUGUCAGGAAGGAGUGAGUGUGGCACUGGAGCUGGUGUCAGGAAGGAGUGAGUGUGGUGCUGGAGCUGGUGUCAGGAAGGAGUGAGUGUGGCACUGGAGCUGGUGUCAGGAAGGAGUGAGUGUGGCACUGGAGCU